CUGAGUGAGUGGGGAACGGGUCGGACCCGGGCAGCCGGGCAGCCACCGAGGGAAAGCCACCCCCGGGGAGCCAGCAGUCCAGGCCCCGCCUCCUCAGAGGAAAGGCUGCUUGCUGAGUGGCCAGACACCAGGCUGAGCUGGUACAUCAUCAUCCAUGCACAUCGGGGCCUGGUGACUAAGGCCUCUCAACCUGGGCCAAUGGGUCUUUCCCUGACUGUCCUAUAGAGCUGCAGAUGAAAAGGUCUCCUCUACGCUUCUGUAACCGGUCAAAGGCAGGCACUAGCAGAUAAGUGUGGUCCUCACCCCUCAGCAAGGAAACGCUUUACAAUAGUUGGAGACCAAAAAUGAAACUGAAACCAAUCAAAACACAGAGUUAUGGAGCCCAGUCCUGACUGAUAAAUCUACAACAUAUCUCCUGCACCUAAGGCCCCGGGGGUCAUUGUGGAAGAGGCGGCAGGAAGUGUAAGAGCCGGAGGAAUGAAGGUUCACUGUGAGAUUGUCUCCUGGGACUGCCAAGCUACACCCAUAAAGCCUCGCCAACGUGACUGCCUCAACAUGAGCUGAACAAGGACAACAGCAACGGACAUGUUAAUGUAAAGGGGGGAAGCUCAAGAGGCCUCAACCCUAGAUAAAGAACACAAGCAACUGAGGGAACCGUCUUCCCCAGGGAAGAGCUCAGCAGUUGGUUCUCCAAUACCAAAAGGUCAGCCCUGAAAACGUACCUACGAGUAACGCUAUACAGACUGAGAAGGUUGUGUUCAUGCAUUGAGUAUCCCUGGAGCCGUUUCUGAAACCAUCCGGUCAGACCCUCUCACCUCACAACUUCACGAAGAUUCUGCACCGUUUGAACGCUCUACAGUAUCGAUUAUCCAGCGGUUCACGUGCCUUUGCGUAUUUCCACGGAUCAUUGCAAUUCGUGAGGGACGGAUGAAGUGACGGGAGUGCCAGAGACAGACGCCACCAUGAAGUGGGAGUGACAUUGAAUGGGGCUGACUUGUCACCAUGGUUGGUUCUUUAGUUCUUGAAUGAGUAUGUCCAGACACAACAGAACAGUCAGGCUAGCACGUCUGUAAGGCACGGGGGACCUGUACAAUCACUGCUCAGAUGACGGGGACACCCUACACUGGGUGGUGUGUUGCCCUCAGAUUAAUAUGGGGCCGGGCGGUGGUGGCGCACGCCUUUAAUCCCAGCACUCGGGAGGCAGAGCCAGGCAGAUCUCCGUGAGUUCAAGGCCAGCCUGAUCUACAGAGCGAGCUCAGCCUCCAAAACUACACAGAGAAACCCUGUCUCGAAAAAAUACCCAAACAAACACAAAAGAUUAAUAUGGACAUGAACCCCUGUCAUCUUGACAAACAGAAAAGGGCAGGUUCAGCAUACCAUUGCUCUGGACACACUCUUGACAUGUCUGGUAACUAACAGGCUUCAUCCCUGAAGACUGUGGUUGACACAUAACUGUGCUGGGCCAAUCACUAUGGCCUAUCCUGUAAGGUGGGUAAUGGGUCAUUCUUCCCCCGUGAGUGAAAUUCCGUGUGCGUGGUGUGUGUGUUGUAGGUGUGUGUGUGUGUGCAUGUCUGUGUAUGUGUGUGCAUGUCCUUGUAUAUAUGUGGGCAUAUGUGUGUGCAUGAGUGUGUUCAUGCCUGUGAAGGCCAGAGGACAACCUCAGGUGUCAUCCUCAGACAUGCUAUCCACCUUGUUUUGUUGAGGCAGGGUCUCUCUUUGGGGCUCCCCAGUUCAGCUAGGCUGGCUGGUGGUGAGCCCCAGAGGUCCACCCAUCUCCACCUCCCCAUUUCUGGGAUUACAAGCACCGUCUGCCAUCCUGACAUUUAUGAAUUUGGGGAACGUGGCUCCUCAGCGCUUUACUGAGCAUUCUCCACAGCCCUAAAACUCUCUUGCUAAACAAGCGCUUUCUCAGCUGGUCUGAAGCCCGGCAGCUAUCCCUACAAACUAGAUUUGUCUAUAGCUGCCUGGAAACCGCGGGUGACAGUCACAGCUUAAAGGCUAUAUUAAUGGUCCAUAGUCUCCCCUAACCUACAGUGUUAGCUGUCUGCGGCCAACCACAUUCUAAAAACACUAAAAGCUGCAGUGUGGGAAUAAUCAGCAAUCAGUUCAUCAGUUCUGAGUGGCGUGGUGUUAGUUGUUCCAUAUUAGUGGUAGUCAUUGUUGGUAAUCUCUAGUCUCUUCUGUGAUCAUUCAUCAGUUGAAUUUAUCAUGGUGUCCAUAACACACAGGGCUCAGCAUUGUCGGCGGCUUCUGCCUCCCCCUGGGUUCUUAGAUGCCAUCUACUCCUGACGAUAAAGAAGGGCACAGCCCCUUCUGUUCUCACAGCCUGGCAUUUGUGGAUGUUUUUAUUCAGAUUUAUCUACAGAUUGGCAGUGGCAGCUGUUUUUAUGGCUCUUCUUGUCCUGGGUUCUCACCCAAAGCUGCUGAAUGGAUUUCCCUUCUGUUACCAAACUUCCUUCCCUGGGGAGACAUAAACACCAUCCCCCUCCCACUAAAGACCUAACAGCAAACCAAAGUUUGAUUCCACCGAAGUUCAACCCGGAGAACCAAUGAGUUCAUUGGGCUCACAUACAGAUCAUGGGUGAGGGGUUACUUAUGGGAGGGUGGGGGACCCCAAGGCCGCAACACUGGCGAGUCUUUACCCAGCGUGGAUGAUGGCUUCUAAAGCAGCCAAGUGAUAGAUAUCCCAGCUGGUAGCACUAUGGGGGGAGUGAUGGAACCUUUAAGAGAUGAGGCCUGGCUGGUCGAACUGACUCAGAAGGGACAGGCCUGUGGCUCUGGCUCCUGUCUGUGGCUGCUCUAUGACUAGCUACGAGCUCUUGCACCAAGGCCAGAGCCCCGGCCACCAUUGUUCCCUUGCUAGGAAACUGGGCCCAAACAACCCCUCCCCUAAAUUGCUUCUUGCCAAGUGUUUAGUCCCAGGGGUGAUAAAGGUAACUACCACACACUCUCUGAUUUACAAUCUCUACAGCUUUGACCCUUGGACAUUAAACGAGCCUAUAAGCUUUGCUCUCCAUAUCGACUCGUCAGCCACAUCGCUGUCACUGUGUGGCUACUGUGUCUUAAGACGCAGACUACAGUUAGAAAUAGGUUUGUUGGCUUCAGGCGGUUGAGUCUGAACUACCUUCCUUCUGGUGCUUCAGGGGGGUCACUGUCAGUCCAAGGUCAUGAUAUAUGAAAGUGGCUCUUUUAUCCCUUCCUUUACCUAAUGGCAGGUGUCUCCUGGAUGACAACUGGCCCCACUAGCCCCAACUCUAUCGGCCUCCAUGGCACCACACGAUGUCACACACAGAAUUAACUUACUCAUGUGACCAGCAAGUUUACUAGGUGGCUAGAAGUCUCUGGAAGGAAUGUGGUAGCCUUGCGAUCACCUCAUACCAGCCAGACUCUCCAAAGUUCUCUGCUUGGAGACCUUCCAAGGUUGUGAGAGCAAUUUUCCACUUUGAUGUGCCAAGUAUCAUCGUGGGUGAUGCUGAAAAUUGUUCCACAGAUAGUUCUGGGUCAUGUGCCAACGUAAUUUCUCAUGAACUGAACAAAACUGCUCUCACAGCAUUGAAAUGCCUGUAUUUUAUCUGUAGAGGAAAUGGCAGCAAUUAUUCCUCCCACCUGGGUCACACGGAAGUUCUACCAUCGGCAAAGUGACCCCAGUGAUCCAGAACGGUAACAACACUGAUGCAUUCCGUUCCUAUACUUCAGAAUCUGACUGUGGAACAGUCCCCCUGUGUAUGGAGGCCUCAGAGCCCCGGGAAAACUGAAAAGCUCUUCCUCUCCCCUGAAGCUGCAUCAGAUGUGACAGCCCAUCACUUAGAAUCUAAAGGAUCCCAACAUAGAAGUUGUAUCUGUACACUGUAAAAUAGUUUUUAAAAUCUAAAUAAAACCCCCUUAGAGAAAAAUAUGCCCUACUGAGCUAAGACCACGUAGAAUGCCCCAGAAAAUCCAGUCACUAAUAAUCGGAACAUGUAAAAGAUUGAAGAUGAGGGUCUAGGAAGAUGGCUCAGCGGAUAAGAGCAUUUGAUGAGCAAGUGUAUGGACCCAAGUUUGAAUCCCCAGCACUCAUGUAAAGAGAUGAGUAUUGCUGUGUGUACAGGCGGGAGGCAGAGACAGGAGGAUCACAGGGAAUGCUGGCCACCAGCCUUGCUCCAGGUUGAGAACCCCUGUCUCAAAGGAAUAAGGUGGAAUGUGGUAGAGCGGGUAUCAGGCAGCCUCCUCUGGCCUCUGUGGGGCACAAAGGCAUGUACGCUCUCUCUCUCUCUCUCUCUCUCUCUCUCUCUCUCUCUCUCUCUCUCUCUCUCUCUCACACACACACACACACACACACACACACACACAGAGUUCGUAAAGACUCACACCAUAUUAGAGUCUUACUUUUUCACUCUGGUUGAUUGUGGGAGUCUGGGAAGCACGUUUAUCUACUGCUGAUUAACAAAGUAUUCCUGGGCCUUAAGGCUCCCAUAGUGUGGGCUCAGAAACCAACAACUGCAAAUGGGUGAGCCCUGGGUCUCACUUCCAACAACUAUUGAAAGCGGGUUCUUGGAAGCAUCAAAUGGCAUCUUAACAAAAAAGAGCCAGCAGAGGAAGAAUUUUCUGGAAACUAGAAGAAAAUAAUUUUCUUUUUUUUUCUCUUUUCAGUUUCUGUUUGUUUGUUCUGUUUUGUUCUGUUUUGUUUUUUUGAGACAGGGUUUCCCUGUGUUGUUUUGGUGCCUGUCCUGGAUCUCCUUCUGUAGACCAGACUGGCCUCGAACUCACAGAUAUCCGCCUAGCUCUGCCUCCCGAGUGCUGGGAUUAAAGGCGUGUGCCGCCACCGCCCGGCAGGAAAUAAUUUUCAAAUUUAGAAAUCCACGGCUCAGGCAAGAAAGGGUAUGUUUGCUGUGGCCUGAAUCAUGGCCCAGCUGCUCAGGUGGGUUGAAAGGCUUAUUUAAAUCCAGAACAAAAUUUUGAAAGAUGUCAAAGAGAGUUGGAAGCCUGAGAAUUCUGGGUGGUGGAAAAGGAAGAGAUGAACAGUAACAGUCUGAAAAUUUUUUAAAUCCUACCUGCAGAUUAUUCAGUCUUGGAGCAGGCCAGACUGAGCAGGAUCUCAUAAAAUCCUUACAACUGAGGAGCAGGGGGUCCCUCUAAGAAGGGAACAUGGCUUGUAGCUGUGGUCAGCUCAAAUGAAGCUCGGGUACAAUCACGUGUGGAAUGCCCGAGAAGCUGCUAGCUCUUGGCAUCUGUCCUCCACCCCUGGAGUAUGAACAGAACAAUCCGGAGGAGCCAGGAGGGUUUGGGGGUUUUUUGUUCGUUUUUUGUUUUUGUUUUUGUUUUGUCUUGUUUUACUCAAAAAAAUGGGGCUGGAGAGAUGGCUCUGUGGUAAACAGCACCUACUACCCUUGCAGAGGACCAGGUUUCAGUUUCCAGCACCCACAUGGUGCCUCACAACCAUCUGUAACUUCAGUUCCAGGGGAUCUGACGCCCUCUUCUGGACUCCUCAGGCACUGCACACAUGUGGUGCACAUACAUGCAUGUAGGAAAAACACUCAUACAGCUAAAAUUAAAAUUUAAAAAAAUCUUUUUUCUUAAAUCUGAGAAAGUGUUUAUUGUCUCCAGAGUCCCCAUUCCUAGCCUAUCUGUAAAGACCCCAGCAGGAGGAAGUCUGGGGGUUGCAUGUCCUGCUGUGAUACCAUCUCCUCCCUUCUCUGAUGGAAUGGGCAUCAGGUAGACAGAACACGGUCAGCAAUUUCCUACUGAGUAUGUGCAGCCAGUGAUCAGGAACCCAGGCCAAGCAAAGCCACUAACUCAGUCCUGAGCCUCUUGGGACCUUGUGCUGUAUGUAUCUUCCUGGAAGGUUUCCAGAGUUCCCUAGAACUGACUGGAUCUACAGAGCCCUCUGGGAAGGGUCCCAAGACUAGUCCAGAGACUCGGUGUGCUCUGACCCCAUGUCUUCCCUUCUCACUGUUCUCCAACCCUCUAGUCUGCUGGUGUGGUUGAUCCCAUGAACUCCAGGACUCACGUCUAAAGGUCUCCCCUGGGGUCACGUUCCAGAACAACACCUUGGCAAACAAGAUGGCUCCAACUGGCCACGUGAUAUUUCCUUCAUGGGAUCCUGGGAUCAGACCUCUGGGAUGGUGCAGACAGGGUGAUUUAGGUUGUUCCUUAUUCAUAUUAGAUGUAGAACAAGCUCAGGGCUCUGGGCUGCUUGCUCUUAGACCUGCAACCCUUAUUUAUGGCCAUAGACUGACACAUGUCCUUCUAUGUUGUGACUACAUAGAACUCUCAGGCCUGGGGUUUUCAACAUCAAGAGUAGCAGGAUGGCUACCCAGGUGUCUUAGUUAGUGUUACCAUUGUUACAAUGAAACACCAUGAUGGCUACCCAGCUGUCUUAGUGUUACUACUGUUACAAUGAAACACCAUGAUGGCUACUCAGCUGUCUUAGUUAGUGUUACUACUGCUACAAUGAAGCACCAUGACCAAAAGCAAGUUGGGGAAGAAAGGGUUUAGUUUGCUCACACUUCUGCAUCAUUGUUCAUAGUUGAAGGAAGUCAGGACAGGAACUCACACAGGGCAGGAGCUGAUGCAGAGGCCAUGGAGGGGUGCUGCUUACUGGCUUGCUCCCCAUGGCUUGCUCAGCCUGCUUUCUUAUAGAAGCCAGGACCACCAGUCCAGGGAUGGCACCACCCACCAUGGGCUGGACCCUCCAUCAUCAAUCACUAAUUAAGAAAAAGCCCUACAGGCUUGCCUACAGCCUCAUCUUAUGGAGGCAUUUUCUCAGUUGAGGUUCCCUCCUCUCAGAUGACUAGCUGGUGUCAAAUCGACACAAACUAGCAAGUACAAGUGACCGCUUGUCAGCUUGACACACAAACACAUCGCUUCUCAGUUAGAACAUUUCCCUUCUCAUUUGUCCCCAAGAUGACAUGAUAAUAUUAAAGUCACAACAUAAAACAUAAAUAACUUUAAAAGCCUCACAAAUUCUUUACAGAUUUAAAUACAUUAAAAGUUCAAUCUCUUUUUUAAAAAAAAAAAUCCAAAGUCUCUACAAAACUCCACAAUCACUUUUAAAAGUUCAAGCCUCUCAACUGUGGGCUCUUGUAAAAUCAAAAGUAAAGUUAAAUAUUUUCUUGCCUCAAGAGGAACUUAAACUAGCCAGCAUGACAGGUGAACCACCUACCUGUCCAGCGUCUCUAUAUCUAUCUAUCUAUCUAUCUAUCUAUCUAUCUAUCUAUCUAUAUCUACCUAUCUAUCUAUCUAUCUAUCUAUCAUAUAUAUAUAUGGAACCCCUGUGGGGUAAACACAUCUACUCCAGGGUCCUUUUGAGACCUGUGCUCCACAGCAUCAACAGCCCUCCUGAUGGAUGCUUUGUUUUGCCUCCAGUCUCGAAACAAUGAGAUUACCCGUCAUCCCUCUGUUUGGGUGCUGACAUCCUGCUUCUCCAGGCUGGUCUUAAAUCAUGUAAGAGGAGCAAAGGGCAUUCUUCAAAUGUGGACCACUCAUUUUCACCUUACCCACUAGUGAUGAUACGUGGAAGGGAGGGUAACGUAUGCCAGCGUCAGAGGAGAUCGUAUUCCAGGAAUAAGCCUAAGCAGGUCAAAGAAGAAAUCAUUGCAAAAAUGCACUGUCUGUGUGUUGUCAAAUUUCCACUGUUUAGCUGACUGGGAAACAACUUCCCACACAAUCUGUGAUGUGCGAUUUUGGUCAUUAUUAUAACGCAGCACAGACUCUCCUUGUAGGGAGAGUCCUUGGAAGCCGUUAGCCGCAAGGACAGGUGUGGAAAAUGCUGUGUGGUGAGGAAUGAUGGAACCAAGGGCAUUGGGGAACUUCAGCGGCAAGUUGAUCUAUGGCUUCAAUACUAACAGGUCCCAAAGGGCCAGAGGAUUGUGAGCAAUAUCUGUGCUGGUAUUUUCUCCUAGCGAUAGAAAAUAUGAAACUAUCCAGCAUGGGCAGAUUUGGCAAUAAAGGACACUAAGAGGCAGCUGCUGAGGUUGACUGUGAUGAUGUGGAGCAUGGAUGCUGAAGAGCCUCAGCUUGUGCAUCAACUGAACAAUGAACAGAGAUGAAGCCCCUUCUCCUGCCUAUGAGGUUAAACUCUUCUUGGUAGAUCAAUAAGGCAUGUAGUCUUUUAAUUUUAUCACAAAUCUUUAAUCAGAUCAUGAAUGUAAAUGGCCCUGUGAGAACACAUUAGAGACAUAGACAGGUCCAGAUGGGAGGGAUGAAAUUUAAGAUGCCAUGGGAUACCCAUGUUCGGCAUAUAAGUACAGUGGCCCCUUGGGAUUCAUGAGAGAUUGGUCCGAAUAUCCCCACAGACACACCAAAGUCGGUGAGUAUUCCAAAUCCCUCAUAUUAAAUGGCAUCAAUCUAAAUCACCUCUGGAUUACCUCUAAUAUCUAAGACAAUGUAAAAAGUGAUGUAGACAGCUGUUACCCUGUAUCAUCAGACCGCAAUGACAAAAGAGCCAAUAUGUAAACACUGUAGCUACGAUUUCCCCCUCUGUGUUUGAUUGGUUGAGUCCACAGAUACAGGACCCAAGGAUACAUAAGCGGCCUGUGUGUCAAAGGUCAUGGGCCUCUAGUAGAGGGGCAGCUAAGGAACUGACGAAGGAGCACGAGAGUCCUUCAGAGGAGAAUGUGGGGUGGGACAGCAGUGACUGACAGGAAAUCCACUCGCCUUUACUGACUGCCCUGUGAUCAUCUUCUAUUCCUCCUCUUAGUAAGAGCCCAGCCCAAAUGACUUAACAACCCUGAGAUUAGAACCAUGCUAUAAAGGAGCCCGAGAGCUUUUUUGCCCAGCAGAAGCAGGCAAUGCACUGCUCAUCUUCAAUGCCCACAGCCCUCUGGCAUGGCUAUCUCAUCAAACAUAGUGAAGGUUAAAAACUCAGAACAAAAUCAAACCAGGAUAUGAGAAGAAAAAAAAAAAAGCAAUCUCAUCCUUUAUUUAGGAAAA